rnacentral:rRNA from 1 species
AGAGUUUGAUCCUGGCUCAGAAUCAACGCUGGCGGCGUGCCUAACACAUGCAAGUCGAACGCGAAAGCCCCGCAAGGGGUGAGUAGAGUGGCAAACGGGUGAGUAACACGUGGGUGACCUGCCUCUGAGUGGGGGAUAACGUCCCGAAAGGGACGCUAAUACCGCAUGACAUCCUGCGUUUGGAGACGCGUGGAUUAAAGCCGGGGAUCGCAAGACCUGGCGCUUGAAGAGGGGCCCGCGGCCGAUUAGCUAGUUGGUGAGGUAACGGCUCACCAAGGCGACGAUCGGUAUCCGGCCUGAGAGGGCGGACGGACACACUGGGACUGAGACACGGCCCAGACUCCUACGGGAGGCAGCAGUGGGGAAUUGUUCGCAAUGGGCGCAAGCCUGACGACGCAACGCCGCGUGGAGGACGAAGAUUUUCGGAUCGUAAACUCCUGUCGACCGGGAAGAACGUUUCGGGGGUGAAUACCCUCCGGAAGUGACGGUACCGGUAGAGGAAGCCCCGGCUAACUCCGUGCCAGCAGCCGCGGUAAUACGGGGGGGGCAAGCGUUGUUCGGAAUUACUGGGCGUAAAGGGCUCGUAGGUGGCCAACUAAGUCCGACGUGAAAUCCCCAGGCUUAACCUGGGAACUGCGUCGGAUACUGGAUGGCUUGAAUCCGGGAGAGGGAUGCGGAAUUCCAGGUGUAGCGGUGAAAUGCGUAGAUAUCUGGAGGAACACCGGUGGCGAAGGCGGCAUCCUGGACCGGUAUUGACACUGAGGAGCGAAAGCCAGGGGAGCAAACGGGAUUAGAUACCCCGGUAGUCCUGGCCCUAAACGAUGAAUGCUUGGUGUGGCGGGUAUCGAUCCCUGCCGUGCCGAAGCUAACGCAUUAAGCAUUCCGCCUGGGGGGUACGGUCGCAAGGCUGAACUCAAAGGAAUUGACGG